GACAGAGGUGCCGAGCGUUAGGCGGAAUCACUGGGCUUAAAGCGUGUGUAGGCGGGUCGUUAAGUGUCUUGUGAAAUCCCACCGCUCAACGGUGGAACUGCUGGGCAUACUGGCGAUCUUGAGCCACCUAGGGGCAGACGGAACAAGCGGUGGAGCGGUGAAAUGCGUAGAUAUCGCUUGGAACGCCGACGGUGAAAACAGUCUGCUGGGGGUGUGGCUGACGCUGGAGACACGAAAGCCAGGGGAGCGAACGGG
rnacentral:rRNA from 1 species